rnacentral:rRNA from 1 species
CUACGGGGCGCACCAGUGGGGAAUAUUGGACAAUGGGGGAAACCCUGAUCCAGCAAUGCCGCGUGUGCGAUGAAGGCCUGCGGGUUGUAAAGCACUUUCGGUGGGGAAGAAAUGCUCAAAGAUAAUACCUUUGAGAGUUGACGUUACCCAUAGAAGAAGCACCGGCAAACUCUGUGCCAGCAGCCGCGGUAAUACAGAGGGUGCAAGCGUUAAUCGGAGUUACUGGGCGUAAAGGGCGCGUAGGCGGGUCUUUAAGUCGGUUGUGAAAUCCCUGGGCUUAACCUAGGAAUUGCAGUCGAUACUGAAGGUCUGGAGUAUGGUAGAGGAAAGUAGAAUUCUCGGUGUAGUGGUAAAAUACGUAGAUAUCGAGAGGAAUACCGGUGGCGAAGGCGAUUUUCUGGGCCAAUACUGACGCUGAGGCGCGAAAGCGUGGGGAGCAAACAGGAUUAGAUACCCUCGUAGUC